GUAAAUAAUAAAGGGCGUAUGGUGGAUGCCUAGGCUCUCAGAGGCGAAGAAGGACGUGAUAAGCUGCGAAAAGCUCCGUUUAGGUGCAAAUAACCUUUGAUGCGGAGAUCUCCGAAUGGGAUAACCCAAUAUGUUGAAGACAUAUUAUACCGUAAGGUAGGCAAACGCAGGGAACUGAAACAUCUAAGUACCUGCAGGAGAAGAAAACAAACGUGAUUCCCCCAGUAGCGGCGAGCGACCGGGGAAAAGCCCAAACCGUUAUUGUUUCGGCAUUAACGGGGUAGUAGGACUGCGACAUUGAUGAAAUAAAUGAAAUGGAACACCUUGGAAAAUGUGAUCACAGAGGGUGAUAAUCCCGUACAUGCAAGUUUAUGAAUCAUAGCAGACUCCUGAGUAAGUCGGGACACGUGUAAUCCUGACCGAAUCCGCCGGGACCAUCCGGCAAGGCUAAAUACUCCUGAGAGACCGAUAGUGAACCAGUACCGUGAGGGAAAGGUGAAAAGCACUUCGAACAGAAGAGUGAAAUAGUCCCUGAACCCAUACGCCUACAAGCUGUCGGAGCCGCUUCGUGCGGUGACGGCGUGCCUUUUGCAUAAUGAGCCUACGAGUUACUCAUCACCAGCGAGGUUAAGUACUUCAGGUACGUAAGCCGAAGCGAAAGCGAGUCUGAAUAGGGCGUCAAGUUGGUGGUGGUAGACGCGAAACCUUAGUGAUCUACCCAUGGGCAGGGUGAAGGUUUGGUAACACAAACUGGAGGCCCGAACCGGUAAACGUUGAAAAGUUUUCGGAUGACCUGUGGGUAGGGGUGAAAGGCCAAUCAAACUGGGAAAUAGCUCGUACUCUCCGAAAUGCAUUUAGGUGCAGCCUCUGUUGUUUUGUUCUAGAGGUAGAGCUACUGAUUGGAUGCGAGGGCUUCACCGCCUAUCAAAUCCGGCCAAACUCCGAAUGCUAGAACAUGAAGACAGGGAGUGAGCCAGCGGGUGCUAAGGUCCGUUGACGAAAGAGGGAGAACUCAGACCAUCAGCUAAGGUCCCCAAUUGUAUGCUAAGUUGGAAUUAAAACGGGGUGGGACUGCUUAGACAGCUAGGAUGUUGGCUUGGAAGCAGCCAUUCAUUUAAAGAGUGCGUAACAGCUCACUAGUCGAGCGGUCCUGCAUGGAUAAUACGCGGGCAUAAGCAUAUAACCGAAGCUAUGGGAUUGUAGAUGAUACAAUCGGUAGGAGAGCAUUCCAUUCAGCGUAGAAGCAGUAUCGUGAGGUAUUGUGGAGCGGAUGGAAAAGCAAAUGUAGGCAUAAGUAACGAUAAUGCGGGUGAGAACCCCGCACGCCGAAAGAUCAAGGAUUCCCCGGCAAUGUCAAUCAUCCGGGGGUAAGUCGGAUCCUAAGGGUAAGCCGAGUGGCGAUCCCGAUGGCAAACAGGUUAAUAUUCCUGUACUGAUCAUAACUGCGAUGCAGCGACGCAGAGGUGACACUGCUGCGUACUGACGGAAUAGUACGUUGAAACCCGUAUUCUUUGAUACCGGUAGUGAAGCACGCCGGUAGAGAUGAAAGGUGAUAGUACCGCAAUGCUUCGGUUGCGCGGAUAACGCAGGUAAGCUGACUGCCAAGAAAACCUGCUAAGCUUCAGGUAAUGAUCAUCCGUACUGUAAACGGACACACGUGAUCAGGUAGAAAAUACUAAGGCGCUCGAGAGAUUCAUGGUUAAGGAACUAGGCAAAAUGGUCCUGUAACUUCGGGAUAAAGGACGCUCUUGUGAAAGAGCCGCAGAUAAUAGGCCCAGGCGACUGUUUACCAAAAACACAUGGCUAUGCUAAUUCGCAAGAAGAUGUAUAUGGCCUGACACCUGCCCGGUGCCGGAAGGUUAAGAGGAGAGCUCAGAGGCAACUCGAAGGUUUGAAUUGAAGCCCCGGUAAACGGCGGCCGUAACUAUAACGGUCCUAAGGUAGCGAAAUUCCUUGUCGGGUAAGUUCCGACCUGCACGAAUGGUGUAACGAUCUGGGCACUGUCUCGACCAUGAGCUCGUCUGAAAUUGAUUCUUGCGUUAAGCGAAAAUCCCGAAUUAGCAGGCGAUCGUAAGACGCUUCAGGAAAUUUUUGACGAAUAGUCAGUUUCCUCCCCAAAACCAACCAUUCUUCCUUUACCUGUUUAAGGUAGCCUCCCGAGCGAACUCGGGGGGCUCUUUUUUUGAAUAAAUUAAAUGGAAUAGCCGGCUUUACGAGCAAAACGAACCGUCGCAUCCAAGAAACCUUGCUUGGAUCCGCAGUCAUAGCGAAUGCCGUCAAAGCGGUGAGAGUACGUUGUAUUCAGAUUCAACUGACCGGCGAUAGCAUCCGUUAAUUGGAUUUCUCCGCCCACGCCCUUUUGAACUUUCUUUAAGCGUUCAAAGAUUUCCGGCUCCAACACAUAACGACCGAUCACAGCAAGGGUUGAAGGCGCGUGAUCAGGAUCAGGUUUUUCAACCAUUUCGUGUACCAGGCUCGUAGUCGCAAGGCCAUCUUCGACUCCAACAAUACCGUACUUUUUCGUAUCAGCCUUCGGCACAUCCUGAACCGCCAAAAUAUUUCCACCGCCCAAUUGCUUGCGCGCUUCAAUUAACUGACCGAUAGCAGACUGUUGAGCAUCAAUUAAGUCAUCGGCCAACAUUACGGCAAAAGGUUCAUCUCCAACCACGGGUUGAGCGCAAAGAACCGCAUGACCCAGUCCCAACGGUUCUGGCUGACGAAUAUAGAUGAAAGUCACGCCCAUCGGCGCAAUAGAGCGAACCGUUUGAAGUAAUUCUGUCUUACCCUUUUCAAUU
rnacentral:rRNA from 1 species